GAUGAAGAACGUAGCGAAAUGCGAUAAGUAAUGUGAAUUGCAGAAUUCAGUGAAUCAUCGAAUCUUUGAACGCACAUUGCGCCCGCCAGUAUUCUGGCGGGCAUGCCUGUCCGAGCGUCAUUUCAACCAUCAAGCCCCGGGCUUGUGUUGGGGACCUGCGUCCGACGCAGGCCCCGAAAACCAGUGGCGGGCUCGCUGUCCACACCGAGCGUAGUAGCUAACCUCGCUCCGGAGUGGCGCGGGCGCCUGCCGUAAAACCCCCCAAUUUUACAAGGUUGACCUCGGAUCAGGUAGGAAUACCCGCUGAACUUAAGCAUAUCAAUAAGCGGAGGU
rnacentral:misc_RNA from 1 species